rnacentral:rRNA from 1 species
UACAUAGGGGGCGAGCGUUAUCCGGAUUUAUUGGGCGUAAAGAGUGCGUAGGCGGUUGAUUAGGUCAGGCGUAAAAGAUCACAGCUCAACUGUGUAGGGCGUUUGAAACCGAUCGACUUGAAUACGGUAGAGGCAGGCGGAAUUCCAUGUGUAGCGGUGGAAUGCGUAGAUAUAUGGAGGAACACCAAUGGCGAAGGCAGCCUGCUGGGCCGGAAUUGACGCUGAGGCACGAAAGCGUGGGGAGCAAACAGG